GGCCAGUUAGCUCAAUCAGUUGAGUAUGGCGCUCACAACGCCAAGGCCACGGGUUCGAUUCCUGUUCGGUCCC
rnacentral:tRNA from 1 species